rnacentral:rRNA from 1 species
AAGUAAACCAAGGCCGCAACCUCAUCCCGCUGCCCGCCAGAGUACUACAAGUGAAAAACUUAAAACUCAAAGGACUUGACGGCAUUCCACAUCACACUAGAGGAGCCUGUCCUACAAUCGAUAACCCACGUUCUACCUCACCUGUCUUUGCCCAAAUCAGCCUAUAUACCGCCGUCUACAGCCCGCCUUACAAAAGCCCCCACAGCGAGCCAACCAGCCCCACGCUAAAACGUCAGGUCAAGGUGUAGCUAACGGACAGGAAGAGAUGGGCUACAUUUUCUAAUAAUAGAAAACCACUACUAACACCAUGAAACAAGUGCACAAAGGAGGAUUUAGCAGUAAGCCACGCAAGCCAGCCUGACUGAAUAAUGCCCUGGAAUG